GGCGAACGGGUGAGUAACACGUGGGAAACCUACCUCUUAGCAGGGGAUAACAUUUGGAAACAGAUGCUAAUACCGUAUAACAAUUAGAACCGCAUGGUUCAAGUUUGAAAGAUGGUUCUGCUAUCACUAAGAGAUGGUCCCGCGGCGUAUUAGCCAGAUGGUGAGGUAAUGGCUCACCAUGGCAAUGAUACGUAGCCGAGUUGAGAGACUGAUCGGCCACAUUGGGACUGAGACACGGCCCAAACUCCUACGGGAGGCAGCGGUAGGGAAUCUUCCACAAUGGACGAAAGUCUGAUGGAGCAACGCCGCGUGUGUGAUGAAGGCUUUCGGGUCGUAAAACACUGUUAUAAGAGAAGAACGUCAGUGAGAGUAACUGUUCAUUGAGUGACGGUAUCUUAUCAGAAAGGGACGGCUAAAUACGUGCCAGCAGCCGCGGUAAUACGUAUGUCCCAAGCGUUAUCCGGAUUUAUUGGGCGUAAAGCGAGCGCAGGCGGUUAUUUAAGUCUGAUGUGAAAGCCUACGGCUCAACCGUAGAAUUGCAUCGGAAACUGGAUAACUUGAGUGCAGUAGAGGAGAGUGGAACUCCAUGUGUAGCGGUGAAAUGCGUAGAUAUA
rnacentral:rRNA from 1 species